rnacentral:rRNA from 1 species
UACAGAGGGUGCGAGCGUUGUCCGGAAUCACUGGGCGUAAAGGGCGCGUAGGCGGCGCGGUAAGCGUGCGGUGAAAGCCCGGGGCUCAACCCCGGGUCGGCCGUGCGGACUGCCGGGCUGGAGCACUGUAGAGGCAGGUGGAAUUCCGGGUGUAGCGGUGGAAUGCGUAGAGAUCCGGAAGAACACCGGUGGCGAAGGCGGCCUGCUGGGCAGUGGCUGGACGCUGAGGCGCGACAGCGUGGGGAGCAAACAGGAUUAGAGUACCCGGGGU